rnacentral:RNase_P_RNA from 1 species
GGAGGCGGACAGACCGUCGCUGCGGGUGCGGGCCUUGCCCGCGCCCGGGGAGGAAAGUCCGGGCUCCACAGGGCAGGACGCUGGGCAAUACCCAGGAGGGGCGACCCUCGGACAGCGCCACAGAAAGCAAACCGCCACGCCUUGCGUGGUAAGGGUGAAACGGUGGGGCAAGAGCCCACCAGAUGCCGCGGCGACGCGGCAUGCUCGGCAUACCCCGUCUGGAGCAAGACCAAAUAGGGAAGGAGGCCGGCCCGGCCCAUGCCUUCCGGGUAGGUUGCUUGAGGGCGCGGGCAAUCGCGCUCCUAGAGGAAUGACGGUCACCGCGCCCGGCUCUCAGCCCGGCGCGGGACAGAACCCGGCUUAUCGUCCGGCUCCCGUG